CCCCCCCCCACUCGCACCUGGCGACAUGGAGCUGGUCUGCUAUGUGGCGCUCGGCUGCCUGCUGGCGCUGGUCCUGCUCUACGGCCUGCUGGAGCUGCACUAUUUCCUGCGCAUGUGCCUCUGCGUGCUGCUGGCGCGCUUCGUUAAGCGACGCUGCCACAUCCUGGAGACGACCACCGUGAAUGGUCUGUGUCUGACCAACGAUGUGGACACCCUGCUCUACCAUAUGAACAAUGCGCGCUAUUUCCGGGAGCUGGACUUUGCUCGCGUUGACUUCUAUGAGCGCACCAAGCUGUAUCGCACCAUAACCAGGCUGGGCGGAUCGGUGUUCCAGGGCGCGGCCACCAUACGGUAUCGUCGUUUCAUACGGCCCUUUCAUCGCUUCAAGAUCAUCUCCAGGAUCAUCUACUGGGACGAGCAGUCGCUGUUCAUGGAGCAUCGCUUUGUGCGUCCUGCGGAUCAGUUUAUACACUGCAUCGUCAUCUGCCGGCAGCGGGUCAUCGAUGUCUCCAUGGACAGCGUGAUGGCCGAGCUGCUGCCCAAGACGGCGGCGACGCCGCUGCAGGCGUCGCGGCAUACGCUCAGCUCCACGGCCAGCAUGCAGCCGGCGGGCAUGGCCCAGGCCCAGGCGAUGCAGCUGCCGCAGACCACGCUCGAGGCGGCCCAGGCCGAGAACGGACACGUCGCAACGUCCACGACGACGACGACGGCGUACAGUGUCAAGCUGAAGCCGCCGCUGCCGCCGGAGCUGUGCAAGUGGAUCGAGUACAACGACAUGUCCAGCAAGAAUCUGCGUAGCGGCUGCUGACCGACUGCAUCCUCUUCCGCAACUCAACUCAACUCAACUCAUUCGCCAUGGACUCUGCGGUGCUCGAGCACGGCAUUCCGUUUCCGCUUGAACAUUUGUUAAUUUCUUCUUCUUCUACUCGCGCGUUUUUUUUUAAAUAGUUUUUUUUUUUAUGUGCGUGUGCAAAUGUUGACGAGCGUGCUUUAACCCUAGCCUUAAGUCGGUCUGAAUCUGCAUCUGUCUGGCCUAGCCCUAAGUGCACCCUAGACGAAUCAAUGUAAUCUCAGCAUCCACAGCUAUUAACCCAUAAUUACUUAAUGUGUGUGUGCCUAUGUGUGUGUGUGUGUGUGUGCGCGCGCUAGUCUAGUAAAAAUGUGCUUAGAUCUACCAACUUGUAAAAUUGCGCGUUUCUCUCUGCUUCAAUUCGGGGGUUCAGCACAAUUCACAGGCGCCCGAGCAGGGACUCGACAGUGUUGGAAAGUGCUAGAUUAGCAAAUGCGUGCACGAAUGUACCUAAACAAUUGUUCUUCAUGCGCGCCCGAGCAGGGACUUGCUCUGCUUCAGAAGCAAGCACUCAGAGUCCUGAUUGUUUCCAAUUCAAAAUCCAGUGCUGCAAAGUGCUUGCAUUAGAUGCAAUCAAUCAUUUAUACAUGUUAGCUACACCUUGCGCUCAGGCAGGUAACUAACUAACAGCUUAGGGCCAACUCAUUGCAAAAGAUGAUGCAGUGUUGGAAAGUGUGCUUCUAGAACUAUUAUAGCUGUGUCUAGGAUCAUCUGGUUUGAGUGCAUUUAAUUGUCUAACAGGCAAUUAUAAAGCAACAACAACAACGACGUUACGCCCAUUUACUAAUUAAACGCAUAGUCAUACUUAUUAGUUAAGCGAUAAGGAAGUGAAAAGCUAGCCAAAUACGAGACUUUUCGGUUCAACCGAAAAUUCCAAUAGAUCAGCUAGCCUUAUUUGCUUAUUUCGCUGACCUUAGACCAAUUGCAUACUGUAUACUGUGUUGUAAAUGUUCAUGUUGAAACCCGUUGAAAGAGCGCAGUGUGAGAAAGUGCGAAGUAAACGAGUUGUUUCCACCAGACGCAAGGCUGAGCUUGGCAACUGUCAACAAUGCAAACAAACUGUAAAUGGUCAGGCUAACAGUUCACGAUGACGCUGGCAAUUCCAAAAAAAAACAAUAGACAGCACUGUUUGAAAUGAAUUUGUCGCUUAGUUCUUAAGUGUUAAAUGUCAAUCGUUGACGAUUUGACGAUUUGCAUGCGCGUCAUGUGCCUCAAGUGCUAGCAAACAGUGGAAACGGCUUAGAACAGCGCAUUUAUAAGCGCACGGCCAUCGCACCUAAUACGCGUAAUAUAUGCAAGCCGAUGUACAGCGUGGGGGACUCUCACAAGAACUUGACCGUUUAUAAUUAGACGUUGAACUUGAGACGCCUGCGUUAAGCAUGGCCAGGCCUGAACUUUAAGCCGGGCUGUUGAGCGCACUCGCACGCGCACUCUCUCUGCCUCUCUCUCUCUUUUUUACUCUCUCGUACUUGCUGACUUCAGCUCUGCUGCUGUUGCGCUCUCCCGCUGCGAUUGGUCAACUUUCGUUUGGCUUGCAGCUGAUUUUGCCAGUGCUGACAGCUGUAGCUGCAUUUAAUAUUGAAAAUAGCCAAAAAUAGCCAAAUGGGCACAAGUUGACUGUAGAUAAUUCAAAUGAUUAGCCUAAUUAAAAAUGG